rnacentral:lncRNA from 1 species
CUUAACAUCUGAUGUAAAUCUACACAUAAUUUUAUUGAAUUAAUUCAAUAAAAUUAUAUGGCUGAAUGAGAAACAAAUCAGAUUACAUCAUCCAUUGAAAACAUCAAUAAGCCAGACUUGAAUAGAAGAUGCCCUAAAAAUGGAAUCUCCAAACAGAAAAUUCCAAAAAAAAAAUCAUGAAUAUAUAAAUCCAACCUUUUUCUUAGUAUUGCAAUCCUCGGAGACGAUCUGCAGCUCUUGAUCCCAUUCUUUGUUGAGUUAUGAGCUGAUUAUUCGAUUCCAAUGAGCAACAAAAUCUGCAAAAUAAAACCCAAACCAAAAAUCAAAACACACGGUAUAAAUUACAGCUAAAUCCCCCAAAGUUUUAAGAGAAAAAUUAAUAAUUCUCGCUACAAACUGAAAAUUAUAGAGAAGGUGAUAAAGGUGAAGUUGCAUAUUAAAUUUACCAUCUAGAGGUGAUCUUCUCGGAGGCCCCACUGACUUCUUCAAUGGAGCUUGGGAAUCCCCAAAACUGAAAAUUCAAAACAAAAAAAAGGCAUAAGAUGAAAUUUAACCAAAUUUUAUUAGAAGAUGCCCUAAAUAAGUUGGUCUGACUGGAAUCUGUCAUUAAAUUUAGGCCUACCAGCCUGCCUCAGAAUACUCCGUACACGUCCUGCAAUGCUCAAAACCAGGUAGACUUACCCAACAAAGACUCAAAAAGAAGUAGCAAGUUCUCGUAACUCAUGAGUCAUGAUCUGCAUUAAUUUAAUCCACCAAAAAACAAAUCAUUAAAUCAUAUUGGUGAUUCUUUUCUGCCAUUUAAAAUAUGAGCACACACGAAUCAGAUUAUAGAUAAAAUAAAAAGGCUUCAUUUUUACUCUAAACCCACAAAUGAAGGUUUUCAGAAAGGAUAA